UUACCGAGGUGCCGAAGGGAAACCGUGAAACGUGCCGCCUGGGAAGUACGGUCGCAAGGGUGAAACUUAAAGGAAUUGGCGGGGGAGCACCACAACAGGUGGAGCCUGCGGUUUAAUUGGACUCAACGCCGGGAAGCUCACCGGAUAAUACAGCACAAUGAUUGCCGGGCUGAAGACUCUGCAUGACUAGCUGAAAGGAGGUGCAUGGCA
rnacentral:rRNA from 1 species